CAGAUGGUAUUUAUUUGCUGUUUGUCUUAAAUUGCAUUCUUAUGCAUCAUAGAGACUGCGAUAAGGAGAAGAAAAAAUAUUUUCUACAGGACCAUCCAAACAUGACAAGAGCAAAAAUCACCCCCUGCAGAACCUAGGAGCUACGUGCAGAACUUUACAGAGUUGAGGCAGCGCCGUAGCUGAGGCCUGACUGCUAACCAGGGAGUGGAGCUCUGAGUGCACUCAAGGAACGCAAGGAAGCCAGGCAGGGAGGAAGGGGCCGGCGGAGUCUAACUUCAGCUGCCAUCUUUUUUGGUGGCACAUCUCGUGGUCACAGGUUGUAGGCUGUGUUUCUGGAAGGUUCAGGUACAGCGCAAGAUUCCACUUGUCUACUUGGCUAUCUCUGUGCCUGAGGUGCCAUGAGGCCAACGGACGUCACUCAAAUUCAUGUCCAGCCAAACUCCCACAGCAAAGAAUCCCGAACCGAGGAUGAAGUUCCUCUAGAAAGCAUUCCUAUCUGUGGCAAAGCUGCAGACACCCCGAAACCCAUCUCCCACCUCGUCUGGAAUUUCAGGAGCUUCGUUUGCUGAGCCAGUGCACUCAUGGCAACCCUGCAGGAAGCCAUGUGGCACCUCUGGGCUUUGCACCGUGUGUGUUCUCUUCUCUAAACUGCUGUUUUUGCUUAGCAAAGAGCCUCGCCUGCCACUGAUGAUGGCAGUGUGGGGUCAUUUUGAAUGGCUGCCUGACACUGCAUGGCACAUUCACGUACACAGUCCUGUGGGAUCGUGACAUAAUAAGAAAUAGAUAUUUCAUCUCUGCCCCUGGUUCCUGACACAGAGCUCCUAAAACCAUUGAAAUUUCCUGGAUAAUAGGAGCUUCUUCUGUUCCAAUGGGGUGACUCUUGGUGGGCUCCUGGAUGGGGGCUGGUCACUAGCGAGACCACACCAUGAUGAGAAACCUGGAGCUUCAGCCCUACCCCCACCUCUGAGCAGGGGAGACGGGCUAGCUAGAGGCGCGGUUCCUAAUGCGCCAUAUGCCUACAUGAAGACGUCUCCGUAAAAGUCCCUCAGCAGUGGGGGUUUGGAGAGCUCCCAGGUUGGUGAACACAUCUCUUUGUGGGGGGCGUGGAGCACCCCAGCUCCCCAGGGCUGGCAGCUCCUGUGCUGAGAACGCUUCUGGACUUCGCCUUACGCACCCUUCAUCUGACUCCUCAUCCCUAUCCUUUAUCGUAUCUUUUAUAAUAAACAUGUUUCUCGCCAGGCGCGGUGGCUCACGCCUGUAAUCCCAGCACUUCGGGAGGCUGAGGUGGGCAGAUCACCUGAGGUUGGGAGUUUGAGACCAGCCUGACCAGCAUGGAGAAACGCUGUCUCUACUAAAAAUAAAAAAUUAGCCAGGUGUGGUGGUGCAUGCCUGCAAU
rnacentral:lncRNA from 1 species